rnacentral:lncRNA from 1 species
UCUUGGAUAUGUUUUAUAAAUUUAAGGUCAAUUUAAUUGUUAGAUAGAAGAAUAUGAAAGUUUUAUUGGAUUAAAUCUAAGAUAUUUGAAUUUUAGGAUCAAUGAGGUCUUUUGCAAUUUUAAAAAAUCAGCUAAUUUGAUCAAAGAAAAACUUUGUAAAAGCAUAUUAAGCUUUAGUAUCUACAAAUUUGUAAAAUUUGACAGAAAUUGAAUGAUUUGACAAGGAGAAAUUGAUGUUGAAAAAUCAAAAUCUGAGUUGGAGAAGGAGAAUGGUUAAUAUCUAAGAAUUUUAGGAGUUUUUUCUCUUAAUUGAUAACUUCAAUUUUCUUCAAAAUUUGUGUGCUUAAUAUUUUUUGUGGAUUAAAAUACGGAU